AUUAAAAUUUGUUUUAUUUUAGUUGUGGUAUAAAAAAUUUAUUAUCAAGUAUAUAAAUAGAAAAAAAGUUAUAAAAAAGAAGUUUUUAAAAAUGUUCCUUGUGUAUCAUGAUACACAGAUUUUAAAAAAAUUUUUUUAUCUCGAAAUAAGGAGAACUAGACUAAUUUUUUGUUAAUGUUUCACUAUUAAAAUAAAAAAAAGUUUAGAGAUAAAAAAUCUUCAAUCUUUAUGAUAUCUAGUUAUUUUAGAAAAAUAUUUAAUAUUCUUUUUUUGAAUUAAAUAUCAAGAAAAGAGAUUUUUUAAGGGUUUAGCUUUAAAAAAUAAUUUAACUAAAUUAUUUAUAUAAGUUAAAAGGAAUUAAAUUUACCCAAAAAAAUAAUUUUUUUUUUAUUUUAUAAAAAAUUUUAAAAUUACUUAAUUUUUAUAAAAACAACAAACUUUUUUAGGAAAAUUGUGUAAUUAGUAAAUAUUAAAAAAAAAGAAAUUGAACUCGGCAAAUAAAAUUUCCGAAUGUAUAACAAAAACAUUGUUUCAAGAAUUUAUUUGAGAUAAUACCUGCUCAGUGAACAUUUAAACAGCCUAACAGCUAAGGUAGCAUAAUAAAUUGUCUUUUAAUUGGAGACUAGAAUGAAAGGUAAAACGAGAAAUAAACUUUAAACAAAAUUAUAAAGAAAUUUACAUUUUAGUAAAAAGGCUAAAAUAAUUCUAAAAGACGAUAAGACCCUAAAGAACUUUAUAAAAAAUCAAUUAACAAAAGUAAUAAAUUUAACUGGGGAAGUUAAAAAAAAAAAAUUUUUUUUUAAAAAAACAAUUAAAAGAAUUUUAAUUCCUCUUAAGAGAAAAAAUAAGUUACCUUAGGGAUAACAGAAAAGAACUUUUUAAGAGAUCAAAUCGAUAAAAGAGAUCAUUACCUCGAUGUUGAAUUAAGGUAACCUUAAUAGAAAAAAAUUAAGAGAUUGGUCUGUUCGACCUAUAAAACCUUACAUGAUUUGAGUUAAGACCGGUGUAAACCAGGUUGGCUUCUAUCUUUAGAUUUAAUAAUUUUUAUAGUACGAAAGGACCUAAAAAGAUAAUUUUAUUUUUAU
rnacentral:rRNA from 1 species